rnacentral:RNase_P_RNA from 2 species
GGAGCCGGCCGGGCGGCCGCGGUCGGCCUUCGGGCCGGUCGAGGAAAGUCCGGGCUCCGCAGGGCAGGGUGCUGGGUAACGCCCAGGCGGGGGUGACCUCGCGAAGGCGCCACAGAGAACAACCGCCCGUGCGGGUGACCGCGCGAGCAAGGGUGAAACGGUGAGGUAAGAGCUCACCAGCGGACCGGGCGACCGGUCCGGCUCGGCAAGCCCCACCCGGAGCAAGGCCAAGCAGGGAGCGUUCGAGGACGGCCCGUCCGAGCUCCCGGGUAGGCCGCACGAGCUGCAUCCCCUCGGGGACGCGCCGGGGCGCCGGAGCGGCGCUCAGAGAGAUGGCCGCCACCGGCCCAAGGGCCGGCACAGAACCCGGCUUACAGGCCGACUCCUCCA